AUGCUGUGAUGAGGGAACUUUCGUCGCUCCCAUGCCUCAUAUAAAGAUUCUUCAUCAAGUUGUUGAAAUGAAGUGAUUUCAUUUCAGAUAUU
rnacentral:snoRNA from 1 species